rnacentral:rRNA from 1 species
CCUACGGGAGGCAGCAGUGAGGAAUAUUGGUCAAUGGGCGGAAGCCUGAACCAGCCAAGUAGCGUGCAGGAUGACGGUCCUGCGUGUUGUAAACUUCUUUUAUCCGGGAAUAACGCGCCUUACGAGUAGGCCUUUGCGUGUACCGGAUGAAUAAGGACCGGCUAAUUCCGUGCCAGCAGCCGCGGUAAUACGGAGGGUCCGAGCGUUAUCCGGAUUUAUUGGGUUUAAAGGGAGCGUAGGCCGCAUGUCAAGCGUGCGGUGAAAUGUCGGGGCUCAACCCCGGCCCGCCGUUGAAACUGGCAGUCUGGAGUUGGAGAGAAGUACGCGGAAUGCGCGGUGUAGCGGUGAAAUGCUUAGAUAUCGCGCAGAACCCCGAUUGCGAAGGCAGCAUGCCGGCUCCACACUGACGCUGAGGCACGAAAGCGUGGGUAUCGAACAGGAUUAGAUACCCUAGUAGUC